rnacentral:rRNA from 1 species
AACGAACGCUGGCGGCAUGCCUAACACAUGCAAGUCGAACGAGACCUUCGGGUCUAGUGGCGCACGGGUGCGUAACGCGUGGGAACCUGCCCUUAGGUUCGGAAUAACUCCCCGAAAGGGGUGCUAAUACCGGAUAAUGUCUUCGGACCAAAGAUUUAUCGCCUUUGGAUGGGCCCGCGUUGGAUUAGCUAGUUGGUAGGGUAAAAGCCUACCAAGGCGACGAUCCAUAGCUGGUCUGAGAGGAUGAUCAGCCACACUGGGACUGAGACACGGCCCAGACUCCUACGGGAGGCAGCAGUGGGGAAUAUUGGACAAGGGGCGAAAGCCUGAUCCAGCAAUGCCGCGGGAGUGAGGAAGGCCUUAGGGUUGUAAAGCUCUUUUACCCGGGAUGAUAAUGACAGUACCGGGAGAAUAAGCUCCGGCUAACUCCGUG